rnacentral:lncRNA from 1 species
GCGCCAGGCAGGACCAAUCGCUGCCCGAGCAAGGGCAGGUGGCCGUUCCAGCCCCGCCCUGUCCCGCCUCCUCCCUACCCCCGCCAAGGCCUCCACCGUGAGGCUGGUUAGUAAGCAGGCGGACACAGAGCAGACGCAGUCCGAGAGUCCCGGAAGUUUUAUUGGGUCCUGGUUGGGUCAGGGUCCCCCUCUCCAUCAUUCGGCCGGCCACGCUCAGCGCCCGUUGCUGGGCGCGCGCAGCUGCCCCAUCAUGUCGGCCAGCAUGCGGUUGCACAGCGCGGCGUACGGGUUGAGCAGCACUAGCUGGCGCCGUGCGAACGGGCUGCCCAGUCGCGCAGCCUUCUCGAAGUCCCUGCGGGCGUCGUCGUCCCGGCCCUGAAAUCUCGCCAGUAGCCCGCUCUGCACGAAGCUCUGGCGGGCGGCGCGACCCCGGCCGCCGCUCAAUGUCACCGCGCGCUCCAAGUCCUCCAGGGCGCCUGCGGGCGGACAGGGAGAGGGCGGCGCAGGUCAGCCGGGUGUGGGCAACCGAGCCCCCGCCCACCUGCCGAGCAGAGCAGCCCAUCCCCUCCUUCGUGCAGCAGACUUUUGAACCACGAGGGAUUAUUUCUAACCCGAGAUGAAGGGUUGCUACAAUUGGCUUGUGGGCCGCCCACGGGCAGAGCUGAGAUCAAAGUCCAAGGCUCUCCUUGGCCUUGUUCCUGGUCCAAUCCAACAACAUCUCCAAAGGGGGUAUCAGGGUUGAAGAUGGCCUGCAACACUGCCUGAUCAUUUGGAGUCCCCAUGGCUCCUAGGGCCCAAGUG